rnacentral:rRNA from 1 species
GACGAACGCUGGCGGCGUGCUUAACACAUGCAAGUCGAACGGAAAGGCCCUGCUUUUGUGGGGUGCUCGAGUGGCGAACGGGUGAGUAACACGUGAGUAACCUGCCCUUGACUUUGGGAUAACUUCAGGAAACUGGGGCUAAUACCGGAUAGGAGCUCCUGCUGCAUGGUGGGGGUUGGAAAGUUUCGGCGGUUGGGGAUGGACUCGCGGCUUAUCAGCCUGUUGGUGGGGUAGUGGCUUACCAAGGCUUUGACGGGUAGCCGGCCUGAGAGGGUGACCGGCCACAUUGGGACUGAGAUACGGCCCAGACUCCUACGGGAGGCAGCAGUGGGGAAUAUUGCACAAUGGGCGGAAGCCUGAUGCAGCAACGCCGCGUGCGGGAUGACGGCCUUCGGGUUGUAAACCGCUUUCGCCUGUGACGAGGCGUGAGUGACGGUAAUGGGUAAAGAAGCACCGGCUAACUACGUG